UACGUAGGUGACAAGCGUUGUCCGGAUUUACUGGGCGUAAAGAGCGCGCAGGCGGUCGAUCAAGUCGAGUGUGAAAGCCCCCGGCUCAACUGGGGAGGGUCAUUCGAUACUGAUCGACUCGAAGGCAGGAGAGGGUAGUGGAAUUCCCGGUGUAGUGGUGAAAUGCGUAGAUAUCGGGAGGAACACCAGUGGCGAAGGCGACUACCUGGCCUGUUCUUGACGCUGAGGCGCGAAAGCUAGGGGAGCAAGACGGGG
rnacentral:rRNA from 1 species